GCGGUAGUGGUGAAGUGGUUAACACACCGGAUUGUGGCUCCGGCACGCGUGGGUUCGACCCCCACCUACCGCCC
rnacentral:tRNA from 3 species